CGGGCUGUGGCGCAGUUGGUAGCGCGCAUCGUUCGGGACGAUGAGGUCGGCGGUUCAAGUCCGCCCAGCCCGA
rnacentral:tRNA from 1 species